UCUUGAUAUACAGCAACACCAUUAAUAACAACAACUACAACACAGAAGUAAAGUAAGGACUUGAACAUAUAAAGCUUCAACAUGAACAGAAGGUGACUAAU